CACGAGCAGAAAAUUAUUGUGUCAUUGUGACCGAGUUUGAAUAAAGGACAAACGGGAGAAAGUUGUUAAUGGCUCCCAAACAAUGUGCAACAGAAAAGGACGCUAGGUUUCUGGAAUAAGUCCUUGGUUAUGAGUUAUUUCCUCAGCUCUAUCCUCUGUCUUCUCUGUGACAUAUGAGCAUGGGAGCUUUGUAUUCACUGUGCACAUGUUACUAGGACACUUGAAUCCUGCAUCAGAUCAGUAGACAAAGGAAUGUCGUUCUGUUGACCAAAGGCAAUAAAACCACAUUUGCAUGCCAGGCUAACAAAGCCAUCAGAAGAGCAAGUGGGAGAAAAGUGAUCACUUAAUCUCAAUGAGGAAUGGAGACUGCACCCCCAGGAAGUCUUCCUCACUCUUGAAGCAGAGUUAAUGAACUUUGUAGUCCAGUAAAUCUUUGAAAAGUAUCUCUCUCAAAGAGAGGGGUACAGAACCCCUAAGUGAUCUUUCACCUAAGAAGAUAAGGAAAACCAGCGCCUUGGCCUCUAUGGGGAUCCUGACUAAAAAGUAAUCAGCCACAGCUGGAAAACAAAGAUUGACAACUGUCUGGGUGGUGCCUCUCUCCCCUGGCAAGGAAGAGUGAAUUCUAAGAGCCGUCACGGUAUUGUGGUGAUUGGAAACAAGCCUGAAAAUGCCAGAUGUGAGUCUGCACAGCUGGACAGAUUAAAAAAAAUGUGCACUUCAGUUUCUAUGGUGGUUGCCCCUGGGGUACCACGGUGUCUAUGUGUGACUAAGCAUAUGAACAGCAAAAGCCAUAAUGCGUAUUUAAAUAUAGAAACAUGUAUUUUGUAUCCUUUUUUAGGCCAAAGAAAGGACUAAAGCAGCAUAAAGGAAACUUGGCUUCACAAAAUGAUUUUUCUUAGAGUACAAAAAAAACCUAGGUCUGAAUAAAGCUGACAAAGGCAAGGAAAUUCUAGAUUAAAAACGCACUUUCAU